AUUGAACGCUGGCGGCAUGCUUUACACAUGCAAGUCGAGCGGCAGCGCGGGGGCAACCCUGGCGGCGAGCGGCGAACGGGUGAGUAAUGCAUCGGAACGUAUCCUCGAGUGGGGGAUAACCCAGCGAAAGUUGGGCUAAUACCGCAUGAGCUCUGAGGAGGAAAGCGGGGGACCUGCGAGGGCCUCGCGCUGGAGGAGCGGCCGAUGUCCGAUUAGCUAGUUGGUGGGGUAAAGGCUUACCAAGGCGACGAUCGGUAGCUGGUCUGAGAGGAUGAUCAGCCACACUUGGACUGAGACACGGCCCAGACUCCUACGGGAGGCAGCAGUGGGGAAUUUUGGACAAUGGGGGCAACCCUGAUCCAGCCAUGCCGCGUGAGUGAAGAAGGCCUUCGGGUUGUAAAGCUCUUUCGGACGGAACGAAAUGGGCGGGACUAAUACUCCUGUCUGAUGACGGUACCGUAAGAAGAAGCACCGGCUAACUACGUG
rnacentral:rRNA from 1 species